rnacentral:rRNA from 1 species
GACGAACGCUGGCGGCGCGCCUAACACAUGCAAGUCGAACGAGCGAGCGAGAGCUUGCUUUCUCAAGCGAGUGGCGAACGGGUGAGUAACGCGUGAGGAACCUGCCUCAAAGAGGGGGACAACAGCUGGAAACGACUGCUAAUACCGCAUAAGCCCACAGGUCGGCAUCGACCAGAGGGAAAAGGGGCAAUCCGCGUUGAGAUGGCGGCGCGUCCGAUUAGCUAGUUGGUGUGGUGACAGCCCACCAAGGCAACGAGCGGUAGCCGGGCGGAGAGGUUGCAACGCUGGAAUUGGGCUGAGACACGGACCAGAAUCCGACGGGAGGGAGCAGUGGGGUGUAUUGCGCGAGGGGGGAAGCCCUGAUGCAGCGGCGCCGCGUGUAGGAAGAAGGUGUUUGGAUUGUAAACUCCUGUUGUUGGGGAAGAUAGUGACGGUACUCAACAAAGAAGUGACGGCUAACUACGUG